GACCUACGGGUGAAAGGGGGGGAUCGCAAGACCUCUCGCUAUUGGAGCGGCCGAUAUCAGAUUAGGUAGUUGGUGGGGUAAAAGCCCACCAAGCCAACGAUCUGUAGCUGGUCUGAGAGAACGACCAGCCACACUGGGACUGAGACACGGCCCAGACUCCUACGGGAGGCAGCAGUGGGGAAUUUUGGACAAUGGGCGCAAGCCUGAUCCAGCCAUGCCGCGUGCGGGAAGAAGGCCUUCGGGUUGUAAACCGCUUUUGUCAGGGAAGAAAUCCCUUGAGCUAAUACCUCGGGGGGAUGACGGUACCUGAAGAAUAAGCACCGGCUAACUACGUGCCAGCAGCCGCGGUAAUACGUAGGGUGCAAGCGUUAAUCGGAAUUACUGGGCGUAAAGCGUGCGCAGGCGGUCGUGCAAGACAGAUGUGAAAAUCCCCGGGCUCAACCUGGGAACUGCAUUUGUGACUGCACCGGUAAGAGUACCGUAAAAGGGGAUGGAAUUCC
rnacentral:rRNA from 1 species